rnacentral:rRNA from 1 species
CGAACGCUGGCGGCAGGCCUAAUACAUGCAAGUCGAACGGCUCUUCGGAGCAGUGGCGGACGGGUGAGUAACGCGUGGGAAUGUGCCCUUUGGUACGGAACAACACAGGGAAACUUGUGCUAAUACCGUAUGUGCCCUUCGGGGGAAAGAUUUAUCGCCCUUGGAGCAGCCCGCGUUGGAUUAGGUAGUUGGUGAGGUAAAGGCUCACCAAGCCUACGAUCCAUAGCUGGUCUGAGAGGAUGACCAGCCACACUGGGACUGAGACACGGCCCAGACUCCUACGGGAGGCAGCAGUAGGGAAUCUUGCGCAGUGGGCGAAAGCCUGACGCAGCCAUGCCGCGUGUAUGAUGAAGGUCUUAGGAUUGUAAAAUACUUUCACCGGGGAAGAUAAUGACGGUACCCGGAGAAGAAGCCCCGGCUAACUUCGUGCCAGCCGCCGCCGUAACAC